rnacentral:rRNA from 1 species
UAGGGAAUCUUCCACAAUGGACGAAAGUCUGAUGGAGCAACGCCGCGUGUGUGAUGAAGGGUUUCGGCUCGUAAAACACUGUUGUAAGAGAAGAAUGACAUUGAGAGUAACUGUUCAGUGUGUGACGGUAUCUUACCAGAAAGGAACGGCUAAAUCCGUGCCAGCAGCCGCGGUAAUACGUAUGUUCCAAGCGUUAUCCGGAUUUAUUGGGCGUAAAGCGAGCGCAGACGGUUAUUUAAGUCCGAAGUGAAAGCCCACAGCUUAACUGUGGAAGUGCUUUGGAAACUGGAUAACUAGAGUGCAGUAGAGGAGGUUGGAACUCCAUGUGUAGCGGUGAAAUGCGUAGUUAUAUAGAAGAACAGCAGUGGCGAAGGCGGCUCUCUGGACUUUAACUGACGUUGAGGCUCGAAAGUGUGGGUAGCAAACAGG